rnacentral:rRNA from 1 species
AGGACGAACGCUGGCGGCGUGCUUAACACAUGCAAGUCGAGCGAGGCCCUCUCUUCGGAGAGGUGCCCUAGCGGCGAACAGGUGAGUAACACGUGGGCAACCUGCCCCUAGCACUGGGAUAAGCCCGGGAAACCGGGUCUAAUACCGGAUAUGACCUUCAAGGGCAUCCUCGAAGGUGUAAAGGAUUCUGGCUAGGGAUGGGCCCGCGGCCUAUCAGCUUGUUGGUGGGGUAAUGGCCCACCAAGGCAACGACGGGUAGCCGGCCUGAGAGGGCGACCGGCCACACUGGGACUGAGACACGGCCCAGACUCCUACGGGAGGCAGCAGUGGGGAAUAUUGCACAAUGGGCGAAAGCCUGAUGCAGCGACGCCGCGUGAGGGAUGACGGCCUUCGGUUGUAACCUCUUUCAGCUCCGACGAAGCGAAGUGACGGUAGGAGCAGAAGAAGCGACCGCCAACUACGCGCCAGCAGCCGCGGU